CGAUUCAUUUCCGGCAAAUGAAAUCGGAUCCAGCUCGCUCCAGUCUCUGUCACUCCGCUCGACCAGCCCCUAUCUUCCGAAGUAUCCAUCUGCGGUUCCUGGCCCUUGCCGGCCACACCCAACCUCGUUCCCGCCGGCGCAGCUCCGUCUCCUCACCCUCGGGUCUCGGCUCAUUUCCUUGCUACCGCUGCAUCACCUGCCCUCCAAUCGCAGAUUUCACCUAAACCUGGCAACGGGACUGCCGACCGGCUUGGAGGACGACGGGCCCCGGUCUCGCGCGGUUCCGGUUCGCCUUCGGCUGGGCCAUGCCGUCGAUUUACCGGCCAUGGGAACCGCUGCUCGUCCACAUCAUAAGGGGCCGCUGCUGGCCAUCCCCGACAGGAGCCGCGUGCAAGGUCGCCGCUGCUCGCGAGCUCUGACGCGCCGCCGGCGUCUUCGCCGGGUCGCCCGAUGGUAUGUAGGCCCUGUAUGCGGCCGUGAGCACUGCAUAUGAAAGCUGGGCGGGGCACAUCCUCGACCCGGAGAAGCUUGCCCCAAUCCCCAGCUCUGACGCCUUUGCGGAGUCUUCGCCGGCGUCUUUUCAGGGCCGUCCGAGCGGCACUUCCACGCUCCGCAUCUGAAGCUGGACAUCCACAUCGUUCGCCCCCAAACCCCACCGCAGACGACGUUGUUCAGCACGACUUCAUCGACAUCAAGGCCAAAAUUUGACCGCCGUUCCCCUUUGCCGGCGUCUUCACGAGGUCGCCGGAAGGCAGGAAGGCCAUCGAUGCGGCCGGAGAGGGGCCCAACCACAGCCGCCGUUCAGCAUGGUCAAAAUUUCCCCUUUGUGGAGUCUUCGCCGGUGUCUUUUCGGGGCCGUCUAUUUGCUUGCUGGUGUUUGAUUCUGAUUAUAGGAUAGUAGUAGAUGAUAAUGGAACUAUUACUACAUUUGACAUGCUUCUUUGCCAUCUGCUAAUUGUAGGACUGCCUGCUGAAAGUCAUCUCAUAUUUAUUUGCUCUGCUCUAGACUAUGGUGGGUAGGAGGUCUCACUGUUUUCCUUUUGGUGUUUGUAUGAGGUCAAGGCCUAGGUAGCUUAGGAUGGUGGUACAACCCUGAGGCGGCGAUGACAGCGGGGAUGGACAGCGGCGGGGAUCAGAGUUCAGGAAUGACUACCUCCAUCCAGUCGGACGACGCCGGGGACAAGAACGGCUACUACAACCCAUUUUCAUGGCGUCGAAAUGCAUUUGAAGGACAUGAUCAGCCCACAAGUGGGGUAUUGGAGGUAGAAACUUGCCAAUGACCUGGUGUUGCCCUACUCACUAGGUUUCUGGAAGUACUUCUUGAUUGCAAAUGACAUGGUUGUACUGUUUUCCGAGUGUUGGGGAGGUAUUGCACGCUACUCUAUGUUUUGAGAGUCACGCUUGGCAAACAUGUAUCACUUUUGUGGUUGUUGCUGUAGUUUGAAACUAGAGUCAACUCUGUGUGUUUCACUACUUUUUAAUAAGUGUUUUCUAUGGUAUAUUCUUGGAGAUGAUGCAGCUCCAUAGUAGUUGGAAACA